rnacentral:lncRNA from 1 species
CAAAAACAUUUUUUAAACAAGCAACAAUAAUGGGGAUUUUUUAUUUUCUUAUUGUCUUAUUUCUUAUUUUCCAGAUGGCCAGUUGCUUGACUUUUCAAGGGUGAGCUAAGAUAGCAGCAUGCUAUGAAGUGUGGAAUUCCAUUGUUUUGGUUCAGAUAUGGUGGCAUGCCUGGAAAGGUAAGCAUCCAACACUACAUCCAGAGACAAUAAAAAGUUGCCAUGCAAAGCUGAUGACUACAGGCUCUGUGAACAGUGCAAGAAGUGGCCAUCCAAACAUAUCCCGAUCAGCGGAGAACAUGGCAACAGUGCAAGAAAUGUUUAAUUGCAAUCUGCAAAAAUCAGCACAUCAAGUAGCUCAUGAAAGUAGACAAACAAGACACACAAUAUGUACAAUGUUGCAUAAAGAAUUGAAUUUUUGUCCGUGAAAAUCCCAUUACAGUUUACAAGGAGGAGGUGUACAAGACAGUGCCUCGCACACUUGAAGACAUGGAGACACAGAUUCAGGAGGUUCUCAAGGAUAUUCCAGGUGGCAUCUUUCAGAAGGUUGUUCAUUCCAUCUAUCCCUGACUGUUUGAGGAAACUGGUUGAUGCCACCAGUGCUUUUGUUGAAAUAUGAAGAUUCACUUUUAUUUUCCCAUGUAAUAAAGAAUAUAUCAUUUGUUUCAAUAAAUUUGUAAAAGGAA